AGAGUUUGAUCCUGGCUCAGAUUGAACGCUGGCGGCAUGCUUUACACAUGCAAGUCGAACGGCAGCGCGGGCUUCGGCCUGGCGGCGAGUGGCGAACGGGUGAGUAAUAUAUCGGAACGUACCCAAGAGUGGGGGAUAACGUAGCGAAAGUUACGCUAAUACCGCAUACGAUCUAAGGAUGAAAGCAGGGGAUCGCAAGACCUUGUGCUCCUGGAGCGGCCGAUAUCUGAUUAGCUAGUUGGUGGGGUAAAGGCCCACCAAGGCAACGAUCAGUAGCUGGUCUGAGAGGACGACCAGCCACACUGGAACUGAGACACGGUCCAGACUCCUACGGGAGGCAGCAGUGGGGAAUUUUGGACAAUGGGGGCAACCCUGAUCCAGCAAUGCCGCGUGAGUGAAGAAGGCCUUCGGGUUGUAAAGCUCUUUUGUCAGGGAAGAAAAGGCUGUAGCUAAUAUCUACAGCUGCUGACGGUACCUGAAGAAUAAGCACCGGCUAACUACGUGCCAGCAGCCGCGGUAAUACGUAGGGUGCAAGCGUUAAUCGGAAUUACUGGGCGUAAAGCGUGCGCAGGCGGUUUCGUAAGUCUGUCGUGAAAUCCCCGGGCUUAACCUGGGAAUGGCGAUGGAGACUGCGAGGCUAGAGUUUGGCAGAGGGGGGUAGAAUUCCACGUGUAGCAGUGAAAUGCGUAGAGAUGUGGAGGAACACCGAUGGCGAAGGCAGCCCCCUGGGUCAAAACUGACGCUCAUGCACGAAAGCGUGGGGAGCAAACAGGAUUAGAUACCCUGGUAGUCCACGCCCUAAACGAUGUCUACUAGUUGUUGGGUCUUAAUUGACUUAGUAACGCAGCUAACGCGUGAAGUAGACCGCCUGGGGAGUACGGUCGCAAGAUUAAAACUCAAAGGAAUUGACGG
rnacentral:rRNA from 1 species